CUUGGGGGAGCGUUUUGUCCACGUCAACACAAAGCGCGCCCUCAAGGAAGCGCUUUGUGUUGACGUGAACAAAACGCUCUCCCAAAA
rfam:Gossypium hirsutum cultivar TM-1 chromosome 11, whole genome shotgun sequence